AUAGAUACCCAGGUAGUCCACGCCGUAAACGAUGAGUGCUAAGUGUUAGAGGGUUUCCGCCCUUUAGUGCUGAAGUUAACGCAUUAAGCACUCCGCCUGGGGAGUACGGCCGCAAGGCUGAAACUCAAAGGAAUUGACGGGGGCCCGCACAAGCGGUGGAGCAUGUGGUUUAAUUCGAAGCAACGCGAAGAACCUUACCAGGUCUUGACAUCCUCUGAAAACCCUAGAGAUAGGGCUUCUCCUUCGGGAGCAGAGUGACAGGUGGUGCAUGGUUGUCGUCAGCUCGUGUCGUGAGAUGUUGGGUUAAGUCCCGCAACGAGCGCAACCCUUGAUCUUAGUUGCCAUCAUUAAGUUGGGCACUCUAAGGUGACUGCCGGUGACAAACCGGAGGAAGGUGGGGAUGACGUCAAAUCAUCAUGCCCCUUAUGACCUGGGCUACACACGUGCUACAAUGGACGGUACAAAGAGCUGCAAGACCGCGAGGUGGAGCUAAUCUCAUAAAACCGUUCUCAGUUCGGAUUGUAGGCUGCAAC
rnacentral:rRNA from 1 species